UGUCAUUUUGCCUACUAGUAGUAGACAUGUUCGUCAAGACAUUGAUGUUAAUGGUAUUGUCGACAGUUAUUACAUGUAACGGACAGGAUAAGCCAUACUGUACAGAAAGCAAUAUAAAACGGGCACAGACGGCUUGCAAUAAAGCUUAUGGAGGACUGUCGGGAUCAGAUUUAUCACCGAUAUGCUGAAGCUUGAAUUGUGUUUUGCAAUGUCUGAAGGACGCCGUUACGGAUUGUUGGAAAACUGACCAUUUUUUUAACUAUGACUUAAACACAACUGUAGUACGAUAUAGAGCAAUGUGCAAAGAUCUCGAAAGUAAGGGUUGACUGCGUAUAUGAUCUCGAAAAGACAAAGAGAGCACAGACCGUUUGCAAUCCGACAUCAUGCGAGAAGCAAUACUUAAAACCCAAUUAUACUGAAAAAAUGCGAGACUUAUACAACAAAGGAGAUUUUGCAGGGUAUAAGCAAUUAGAAUACGGGUACGGUAUCUUGAUUUAAUUUGCUGGGUAUAUGUAAUUAGAAUUCAUAUAAGGCAUCGUGAUUUUAUUUGGUAUAAACAGUAAGGAUGAAGGUACGGUGUCUUCAUUUUGAAGGGUAUAUGUUAUAAGAAUGUAGGGUCGGUGUUGUAAAUUUACAGGUAUGACUUCAUGAUUUUGCUGGUUAUAAACAAUUAGAUUGCAAAUUCGGCGUUGUGAUUUUUGAAUAUCUUGACAUUGUCGGCUUUAGUACUUACCAACUAAAUAGAUAACGUUUAAAUUCUUGCUUCGGUCGUGCAAGGGAUACAGUUAAUUGCAUACCAACGGCUCCCGUGGGACCAGAUUGUACAGCCGAGCUAGAAGAGUUGAGUAAGGGAAUAGAAACGGUCAGAUAUUCUAUGUCAGAGUGUGGUGUUGCGCAAAAUCAUCAGUAUUUUAAAACAAAGACAAAAGCACACCUUGUCCUAAUCCAGCAAUAGUAAGUAUAUUUUUAUAUAAUGCAAACAUGAUUUCGGAUUAUUUAACUAUUUCAUGAUUUCAAGCAAUUCAACACAUUCAAUGGCUCCCCAGUAAAAUGUCGAAGCUACUUAAUCUCCACCGUUCGGACCUCGGGCUAUAUAUUUGAAUAUCGACCGGAAGCUAUUCAGUAUAGCACAGAGCAUGAUAGCUGAUCAUUUGACUAAACAAAGGAAGAAUGAUUGCAGAUCAUACAGAGAUGGUAGCUAAUUACUUAAUUAUCUGAUACAAGAAUGAUAGCGGAGUAUUUGAUAGUAUAUUUGAAGAACGACAGCAAAUUAAUUUACGAUAUUAUAAAAUUAUGAUUGCUUAUUGUUAUGAGUAUGUACAUCAUACAAAGCAGAAUGCCUGCACUUAUACAAAUAUAUGCGUGUUUGCUUCAAAAACAUGCUAAAUGUCACUAAAUGUCAUGUGUCAGAUAAGGAAAUACAUUUAAGUUUAACUGGGGUCAUAAGGAACCUUUGAUGUCUUGAAAGACUUUCUUGAAGUUCAAGUACUGAUAAUGAUUACAUGUCCAACGGAUGCAUUACAUACUGUCAUUUAUAAAUGUAAUAUGAAAUAAGGCACUUCCUCAAUCGGGAAUCGAUCCAACUUCAACUCAUCCUAUUAGAUUUGAAAAGAACUGCCUAAUGACAGCAGGGAAAGGACACAUAUUUUUAAUUCGAUAGUUCAUAUCACAUUCGGUAUAUCGCAUGUUAUCGUAGAGGGAUC
rnacentral:lncRNA from 1 species